GUAAUUAUUAUAUUUUCAGACGCUGAGUGCAAAUACAAAGGGUUAUAAGUUGUCCAGCCGGCGGAGUAACCCGCCGAGGAAACAAUAAGUACGCAAAAAGACAUGGGGUAUGAUUAGGGCUAUAGUACAAGCUAUAACACCAUCUAGGUAAUGAUCCUUCCGCAGGUUCACCUACGGAAA
rnacentral:misc_RNA from 1 species